rnacentral:rRNA from 1 species
GGAAAACUUACCAGGUCCAGACAUAAUAAGGAUUGACAGAUUGAAGAUCUUUCUUGAUUUUAUGGGUGGUGGUGCAUGGCCGUUCUUAGUUGGUGGAGUGAUUUGUCUGGUUAAUUCCGUUAACGAACGAGACCUCAGCCUGCUAAAUAGCAGUGCCUGUCUUUAUUGACAGGAUUUUCUACUUCUUAGAGGGACUAUUCGUGUUUAGCGAAUGGAAGUUUGAGGCAAUAA